AUACUUAGUUGGCAGGGAAUAUACUGUGAUCAUGAAGGUGGUUUUCCCAGUGCAAGGCUUAUCCACUGCACUCCAGAUUUGCUGACCCCUGAGAUUUCCUCCAAUGUGUGAAACUCAACUGCAUAAUUUGUGGUAGUGGGGGACUGCAUUUGCACUCUUCCCCC
ensembl:snRNA U1 U1 spliceosomal RNA